rnacentral:lncRNA from 1 species
UAUCUUUAUGCGAAUGAAUCAAUAUUGCCAGUUGGCCUUGUGAACGUGUGUGUACGAGAGUGUCUGGUAGUGAAAGAGUGAGAGAAUGUGAUAAGGCGAGAGAGAUUAUGAUUUAUGGCAGCAUUGCAUUGCAUUGCAUUGCAUUACCUUGCUCCCAUCAAAACAUAGUGCUGUCCUUUCAGGACAAAAGUUAAUCUUAAUUUGGCCAAGUCACAACUAAUGAUACUUUAAUGAUUAGAUUUUUGUUUCUAUUAAUGGUUACUACUCUUGUAAUUUGACUCCACAAUAAAUGCACUCUGCUCCCUCUCCUAAGGCUUUGCUUAUCUUCUUCCAUACCCUCAAAUAUUGUGCUUGCUUGCUUUGCAACAACCAACAAACUACAGUUUCUCACUUCAUUUAUAUGACUGUCACCCACCAAUCAAUAUUUAACUCUCAAGUGAAGUUCAGCAGUUUUGAAGUGUCAUGUGAGGGUUACUUACUUUGGUUCCUUUCCCUUUUUCCAGCUGAAAUUGGGGAGCUGAGAAAGUACCUAGAACAUGACAUGCCACACUAUAAAGUUUGAGGCUUUACAAUUUCACAGUUUUAAUGUGCAUAAUUGCCAUUCUGGAACUAUCUCAAGUGAUUGUUUAGUUGAGUUUGGUUAUUCAUUUUGACAUAAAUUACCAUCUUCAGUAGCUGUUUCUUCUCUCGUACUACAAGUUCCAUAAAUGUAAGUCUCCUCAUAGAGCUAGACAGACCCACGUUUCAUUGAAAGAAACCACUAAUGAGCACCUGAUUUGAAUGUGCCACUAAUGACAAGCAUCUGUGCUUACAAUAAAAUAUAGCAGCUCACUUGAAUUCUGUCUUCUCUUAAUGCUUAUUUUCUCUCUUUAGUCACAAUACCUUUUACCUUGUCAUGUUUUGUAGGAAUAGUUCCAUACUAUACUCACUUUUGACCCCUACUUGUUCCAUUAGGAAUAGUUCCAUUAGGAUAUCAUUAAUCUAAUCAUCAAGUUAAAUAUAAAUACACCCUUAAUCUAAAAACACAUUCAAGUGCAAAAAUGUUACCCGUGUGGUAUCAGAGUUUCCCCAAUAAAGAUAAUUGAAAGUUACGUGAGAGUGAAAUUUAAUGCAGAAAGUGAACCAACCGCUCAAGGGUUGAGAGGACAGUGUAGAAAAGAAAAAGCAUGAGGAUGCAAGGGAGUUGAUGGAGUACAAUUCAGAUUCAGAAAUGGCACACAGGUACAAUUUCCUCUUAGUGACAAAAACUC